UACGUAGGGUGCAAGCGUUAUCCGGAAUCACUGGGCGUAAAGCGUGCGUAGGUGGCGUGUUAAGUGUGAUGUUAAAUCGUGUGGCUCAACCAUAUCGAUGUGUCGCAUACUGGCAUGCUAGAGGACAGCAGAGGCAAGUGGAAUUAGCAGUGUAGCAGUGAAAUGCGUAGAUAUUGCUAGGAACACCAAUGGCGAAGGCAGCUUGCUGGGCUACUCCUGACACUGAGGUACGAAAGCGUGGGGAGCGAACAGG
rnacentral:rRNA from 1 species